UUGUGCUGCCUUUCAUUGGUUUUGUCUGAUCUUGGAAGCAAAGCAAAGUCAGGAUCGGUUAGUACUUGGAUGGGAGGCCACCUGGGAAUACCAAGUGCUGUAGGCU
rnacentral:rRNA from 1 species